AUUCUAGCAGGGCUGUCCGAACUCUGUAAGAUUUUUGUUAGAAUAUUCUGACAGAGCGAAAUCUGCUAGAAUUUUAUAAGAAUUUUGUUAGAACAAUCUGGCAGCGCAAAGUUCGUCGAAAAUGACGUCAUUUUUGCCAAACUACAUUGUGACCGCCAUCUUGUCAGAAAUUGCGUGACAAAAAGUUGCCAUCAGAAAAAGUAGCGUCGGCGUCGUUCCGUUUGCCGCCUGGCCAAUCCGAAUAUGGCACGGUUUCCAUUGCCUCGACCUGGAAGGCUCGAUCAAUUUUCAGAAAAAUGUCAACGAGAACCACAUGGCCCACGGAGGAACUUCACCACCAGCACCCUCAACUCCGGCGGCCGCUAAUUGGAAUCAAGUUGGACAUGUCAAGUUGGACGGCAUAUUUCCCGGAUCCGCCGGCAUCCUGCCGGAAGACGACUAUAUUUGCCCUCAGCACUACCGAUUUCUCACCAAAAGUCACAGGAAAAACGAAGAAAAUGUGUGUGUGAAGAUGAAGUGAAGAUGAAGUGUAAUUGAAAAUUGAGUGUUUAAUAAAUUGAUAAAGAUUCUUUUGUUAUGUUUUU